rnacentral:rRNA from 1 species
GUACACGCUGUGACUAGCAUAUCAAUAAGCGGAGGAAAAGAAACUAACAAGGAUUCCCUUAGUAACGGCGAGUGAAGCGGGAAGAGCUCAAAUUUGAAAUCUUGAAAGGUCACCUUUCACGAAUUGUCAGUUUAAAGAAGUGUUUUCUGUUACGAUCGUAAUAUAAGUUCUUUGGAAUAGGACAUCACAGAGGGUGAGAAUCCCGUCUAUGAUUGCGAUUUGUAGCUUUGUGAUACACUUUCAAAGAGUCGGGUUGUUUGGGAAUGCAGCCCAAAACGGGAGGUAAAUUUCUUCUAAGGCUAAAUAUUGGCGAGAGACCGAUAGCGAACAAGUACCGUGAGGGAAAGAUGAAAAGAACUUUGAAAAGAGAGUUAAAUAGUACGUGAAAUUGUCAAAAGGGAAGCGUUUAACACCAGUGUUGUUUUCUGAAAAUCAACCUCUGUUAGCUUUAUGCAUGUUUGUUUAGACCUAAUCAGCUAUCUUGCAUGUUCUAUUGUUUGCAGUGGUGCACUUUUCAGUUUACAGGUCAACAUCAGUUUUUUUUACCGUAAAAAAGUUAAAGAAAGGUAGCUCAUGGCUCCGGUCGUGAGUGUUAUAGUCUUUUUCCUAUGCGGUAGGAGAGACUGAGGUCUGCAGUGUAGGCUAUUUGGCUAGAUACACAGGUGCUAUGUGAUACCAUUUCAUAAACAACUUGUUGAUUAUGUUUUGUCUAUUGCAUACUCGCUUGUACUAUCAUACCUACGCUUAGGAUGUUGAGUAGCGACAUACGCAC